CCUGACUGAACUCAGGAUGCCCCCGGACCCCGGGAUGCCGCGCUGGAGGCUGCAGGAAGAUUCCCAGAGGGCCACAUAGGGCACAGAGGGCCACAGUGCGCCCCAGUGUCCACAGACUCUACCCAGACAGCGACCAUUACUCCACCGGGGGCCUGUGCCAUGCCCAGAGAGGCUUCAGGCCCCUGACUGGACUCAGGACGCCCCUGGACCCCGGGAUGCCUCGCUGGAGGCUGCAGGAAGAUUCCCAGAGGGCCACAUAGGGCACAGAGGGCCACAGCGCGCCCCAGUGUCCACAGAUUCUGCCCAGACAGCGACCAGGACUCCACCGGGGGCCUGGGCCGUGCCCAGAGAGGCUUCAGGUCUCAGCAGCUGGGAUCAAAGAAGCAGCCACCCAUCCAUUCCUUAGAGAAGGCCCCUGACCGGACUCAGGACGCCCCAGGACCCCGAGAUGCUGCGCUAGAGGCUGCAGGAAGAUGCUUAGAUGGCACAGAGGGCCACAGUGCGCCCCUGUGUCCACAGACUCUGCCCAGACAGCGACCAUGACUCCACCACCUGGGGCCUGGGCCCUUGCCAGAGAGG